rnacentral:rRNA from 1 species
AACGGUAUCUGAGGAAUAAGUAUCGGCUAACUCUGUGCUAGCAACCGCGGUAAGACAGAGGAUGCAAGCGUUACCUGAAAUGAUUGGACGUAAAGCAUAUGUAGGUGGCUUUGCAAGCCUGCCAUCAAAUCCCACGCUCAAGCCUGGAUAGGUGAUGGAAACUACUAAGCUAGAGUAUAAUAGGGGCAGACAGAAUUUCCGGUGGAGCGGUGAAAUGCGUAGAGAUCGGAAAGAACACUAACGGCCAAAGCACUUCGCUAGGCAAACACUGUCACUGAGAGACGAAAGCUAAGGAAGAAAAUGGGAUUAGAUACCCUAGUAGUCCUAGCUAUAAACGAUGGAUACUAGACGUUGUGCGUAUCGACCUGUGCAGCCUUGUAGCUAACGCGUUAAAUAUCCCACUUGGGAGUACGUUAGCAAGAAUGAAACUCAAAGAAAUUGACGGAGUCCAGUACAAGUAGUGGAGCAUGUGGCUUAAUUCGAUGCAAAGCGAAGAACCUUACCAGGGCUUUACAUGUCGUGAAUCCUCUUGAAAGAGAAGGGCGCCCUCAGGAACGGGGAUACAGGUGGUGCAUGGCUGUCGUCAGCAUGUGCCGUAAGGUGUUGGGUUAAGUCCCACAACAAGCGCAACCCUCGUGUUCAGUUACUACCAUUGAGUCUGGAAUCCUGAACAAACUAUCGAUGAUAGGCUAGAGGAAGGUGAGGAUGACGUUAAGUCAUCAUGCCCCUUAUGCCAUAAGCGACAAACGUGCUAUAAUGGGUGGAACAAAGGGUUGCGACCUCGCGAGGGUGAGUUAACUCCAAAAGCCUGUCCUCAAUUCAGAUUACAAGCUGUAACUCGCCUGCAUGAAGUUAGAAUCGCUAGUAAUUACCGGUCAUCCAUACAAUGGUAAAUUCGUUCCCAUGCCUUAUACACACCACCUGUCACACUAUGGGAGUUGGUCAUACCCGAAAUAGGGUUAAUUUUUUUGGUAAAUCACUGAACUUUGGUCAAAUAUCAUUUUGAUCACUUAAUUUGAUUUGUUUUGAAAUGCUCACUA